GAUGAACGCUGGCGGCGUGCCUAAUACAUGCAAGUCGAGCGAACGGACGAGAAGCUUGCUUCUCUGAUGUUAGCGGCGGACGGGUGAGUAACACGUGGAUAACCUACCUAUAAGACUGGGAUAACUUCGGGAAACCGGAGCUAAUACCGGAUAAUAUUUUGAACCGCAUGGUUCAAAAGUGAAAGACGGUCUUGCUGUCACUUAUAGAUGGAUCCGCGCUGCAUUAGCUAGUUGGUAAGGUAACGGCUUACCAAGGCAACGAUGCAUAUCCGACCUGAGAGGGUGAUCGGCCACACUGGAACUGAGACACGGUCCAGACUCCUACGGGAGGCAGCAGUAGGGAAUCUUCCGCAAAGGGCGAAAGCCUGACGGAGCAACGCCGCGUGAGUGAUGAAGGUCUUCGGAUCGUAAAACUCUGUUAUUAGGGAAGAACAUAUGUGUAAGUAACUGUGCACAUCUUGACGGUACCUAAUCAGAAAGCCACGGCUAACUACGUG
rnacentral:rRNA from 1 species